GAUUAACGCUGGCGGCGUGCCUAACACAUGCAAGUCGAGCGGCAGCGAGUUUUACACUGAAUUCUGGAAGCUUCUAGUUGAAAGAGAAGAUUUAUUCAAGAAUUUUGUGUAAAAUGUCGGCGAGCGGCGGACGGCUGAGUAACGCGUGGGAACGUACCCCAAAGUGAGGGAUAACGCAUCGAAAGGUGUGCUAAUACCGCAUAUGGUCUUCGGAUUAAAGCCUUCGGGCGCUUUGGGAACGGCCUGCGUAAGAUUAGAUAGUUAGUGGGGUAAUGGCCUACCAAGUCGACGAUCUUUAACUGGUUUGAGAGGAUGAUCAGUCAGACUGGAACUGAGACACGGUCCAGACUCCUACGGGAGGCAGCAGUGAGGAAUCUUCCACAAUGGGCGAAAGCCUGAUGGAGCAACGCCGCGUGCAGGAUGAAGGCCUUCGGGUUGUAAACUGCUUUUAUAAGUGAGGAUUAUGACAGUAACUUAUGAAUAAGGAUCGGCUAACAACGUG
rnacentral:rRNA from 1 species